rnacentral:rRNA from 1 species
UACGUAGGGGGCAAGCGUUAUCCGGAUUUACUGGGUGUAAAGGGAGCGCAGACGGCAGUGCAAGACUGAAGUGAAAGCUCGCGGCUUAACCGCGGAACUGCUUUGGAAACUGUACAGCUAGAGUACCGGAGGGGUAAGCGGAAUUCCUAGUGUAGCGGUGAAAUGCGUAGAUAUAAGGAAGAACACCGGUGGCGAAGGCGGCUUACUGGACGGUAACUGACGUUGAGGCUCGAAGCGUGGGGAGCAAACA